UCACCCCUCAAGCCCCGUGCUUGGUGUUGGACGGCUGGUCGCGCGAUCGACCCCUCCUAAAGACAAUGACGGCGGCCUGUGGUUCCCCCGGUACACUGAGCUUUUAACCGAGCACGUAUCGGACAAGGGCACCCGGGACCCGGUCCUCUCCUUUAACCAGGAAAUUUCUCA
rnacentral:misc_RNA from 2 species